UGCUGCUUUAACACACCCUGGAAGUGCUUGUGCCUGAGGUUUCCUUGCACCAGCUGUGCUACAGGAAUGAGGAAUCUCUUUCAUGACAGACCACCAUUGUACAUGUGGCCUAUCUUGAUCAAAGUGUCCUUGAGCAGAACGGUGGUGUGUGUCUCAUGACUGUACAUGAUCUGAGUGAGACAUCUGCUGUUCAGAAGAGCUUGAGAAUCAUUGGACAUUCAUGGUUGCCACAAGGUUUGGAAAAGGAUUUUCUGCUGUCUGUUAAGAAAACUGUUUUUCAGACCUAUAUAACUUUGUAAGGCUGUUGUUUCGAUAAGGUGACAUCUGGGGGUCAUCGAGUUUUUCCUAAGACAUGCCAUCUUUCCAUACACCCCAUUCUGCUUUGACAUUAACCACUAGAAAUUAUUAUAUUGUUGUGUUUAUUAAUCAAUGUGCUUGAUUACUAAUGGGUAAAUUUGUUCUGCAGUAAAGCUCCUGCAAACUUCUAGUUGUCCUCAGUGUAAUCAUCCAAGUUGAGCUCAGUCCCCAGUGAACACAUUGUGACAAUCUGUGUGGAAGAUUGUCUAACUGUUGUCUAUGAGGGAAACUCUUUAGUGACUCCAUACUCGGAGGGUGUGGGUUGGGGCUGAUUCUAGGCACUUCUUUAAGGAUGGAACAAUUGACUUUCAGAAGGAAACAGGAGAUCAGUAAAUACCAUGUUGUCUAUAUUAACUGUGUAGGCCCAGUGAGCCACUGUGGUUGGCAGAUUCUCUCAAAUGCUGAGUUUUGUGAUCCCAGCAAUUUCCUACUCAGUCAGCUUUCUUUUCUAAGGGUAAAUAAUAUGGAGAAUGCUAAUAUUAGCUCUCUACUGCACAGGAUGUUGGUAGGAUGGUGAUAGAGAUGCAAUCAACAAAUAAGUUAAGGGUGACCCGAGAGCCCCUCUUACUUCCUGUGAACUCACCAAAAGUGAGUUCACCAAAGGAAGGGUGUACAAUACUCUCUGUUUACCUUGUGUGUGGGGCCCAAUUCUAGUGUUAGAGUGGCUGUGAGGACUUAAGUACACUAAAGAUUUCAUGGACAAAAUCGUGGAAUUAAUCGGGAGGCCAGGGAAUCGUGAACAUCAUGCAUGGUGAGUAUAGAUUUCUCACACUGUCAAUCUCUCCUGGCCUCCACUACACAUUUGUGGGAUAUUUUAGAUCUCAGUGACCUUUGAGGAUGUGGCCGUGAACUUCACCCAGGAGGAGUGGACUUUGCUGGAUGCUUCCCAGAAGAACCUUUACAGAGAUGUGAUGCUGGAAGUCUUCAGAAACCUGGCUUCUAUAGGAAAGAGAUGGGAUGACAAGAACAUUGAAGAUCAGAUCAAUAAUUCUGGGAGUAAUCUAAGGCACUUCAGAUCUCACUGUGGGCAUGAAUGCUAUAAACAUGAAGAGUGUGAAGAGAAGCCAUGUGAAUUGAAACAAUACAGAAAAUCUCUGGUUUCUCUCAAAAGUGUUCACACACAAAUGUUAACACAAACUGGAGAUGGACCAUAUGAAAGUACAGUAUGUGGAAGAGUCAUCAGUUGUUCCAGUGACAUUCAAAGACAUGAAGAUUCUCAUACUGAGUGCCAACCCUAUGAAUGUCAACAAUGUGGUGAAGCCUUUUCUUCUCUCCCAGCUGUUCAAAGACACAUGAGAACACACAGUGGAGGUAAAUUUUUUCAAUGUGAGGUAUGUGGGAAAGCCUUUCAUUCCCCCACUUUAUUUAGAAAACAUGAAAGAACUCAUUCUGGAGAGAAACUCCAUAAAUGUAAACAAGGAGGUAAAACUUUGGUUUCAUUCACAAGUCUUCAAUGUCACAUGAUCAGGCACACUGGGAAAGCACAUUUCAAAUGUAAGGUAUGUGGAAAAGACUUUGCUUAUCCCAGUUUACUUAGAAUACAUCAGAGAACACAUACUAGAGAAAAACCCUAUGAAUGUCCACAAUGUGGGAAAGCCUUCAGUACUUCAUCUUACCUCCAGAUACACGAAUGGACUCAUACAGGAGAGAAGCCCUAUGAGUAUAAGUGGUGUGGAAAAGCCUUCACUCAGUCUGCUCACCUUCACUCUCAUGAGCAAACUCAUACUGGAGAGAAGCCCUAUAAAUGUCAACAAUGU